GGACUUCCGGCCUCCCUGCUCCCACAAAAUGGUAGCCGCCGUGGGGGAUGUCCAGUUUUUUUUUCCUCUUCCCAAGUACAGACGCAGAGCGGGCUUGUCUUUCCGCUUAACCUCAACCUCGUGUGAUCUGCCAGUUUCGCUCCCGGUUAGCCCAGGACUUUUUAUAGCAUAGAAUUUUAAAGCAAGGGCUUAGAAUCAGACCUGGGUCAAAAUCCUGCCUUCCACCUUCACCAAGACCCCAAAUUCCAGCGAAACAGCUGAUGCCAGCCAGCUUGAAGACCCCUGCCACAGAAGAAGGGAAUCAGCAUGAGAAUACAGCUUCAUCUCCCUGUCCCAUGACUUCGCCCUGUACUCUUCAGCCAAUUAAUGAUCUCCACACUUGGGACCACUCCAAAACCCUUAAGAACCUGAGCCUCAAAGUCCUCCUGGAGACGAAUUUGAGGUUUCCUACUAUCUGUGUUUGGUGGCCCUAUGAUUAAACCUCUUUCUCUUCUGCAACCUGGUGUCCCAGUGUAUUAACUUGCCAUGGGCAUCAGACAACAAACCUAUAUAUAGUAUCCCAAAUAUGGUGCUCCACUUUGAAACCUGAAGAAAUCCUGCAAUUGAGUUAGCCUUUUGAAAUAAAAAUUAUUUCAAAUUUAAAAAUAUUUAUAUAUGUUCCCACUUAAGAUAUCCACAAACAUUUGUAUACAACCUUUUAUCUUGCUUUGCUUCUUAAACAUUUCUGUAUGGCAAUUUCCGUGUCUUCCUAUCAUCUCGGCCAUCUUAGUGCAAAGAUACAAAAUUGUGUGGCUUAUUAAGAAAAAUUACAGUAAGCUAAGAGUAGGUUAAAGGAUCUGAAACUUAGCAGGAAAAAAUGAGCAGAAAUUAAAGCUAUAAAAGGCAUGGAUCCUGCUCCAGUUCUCUUUGCAUCUCCUUUGUUCUCUGUCUUCCUCACUUUUAACUGCCUUCUUUGUUUCCCUUGAACCUGACUACUUAAAAAAAAAAUUGAAUAUCUAAAUUAUCUCAAGGCUAAAAGGAUUUUUGUUUAGGACGUAUGAAGAUUAAUUCAAUUAAAUAAAUACUUAUUGAGCAUUGACUAUCAGGGGAAUACUGGAAGACAGGCCUGCAGAGGAACAUGUCAGAAUGAUCACACUAUUUGUGGGUGUAUAAUCUGGAAGCUGUACCAUGAUUAGUUGAAAGAGAGACUGAAGGCAAGAAAAACAGUGUGGUGACUUGGAGAAGAACCAAGACAUAAGGAAAUGAAGACCUACUCUUGGGUGAUGACAGUAAAAAGAAUGGAAUAGGCCUGAGAGACAGGAAAAGGGAGAACUGAUGAGACUCAGUUACUGAUAGGGCUAAAGAGGAGGAAGGACAGGGCGAGGUGGCUCACGCCUGUAAUCCCAGCACUUUGGGAGGCAAGGCAGCACUUUUGAGCCCAGUAAUUCAAGACCAGCCUGAGCAACAUGACAAAACCCCAUCUCUACAAAAAAUACAAAAAUUAGGCCGGGCGCAGUGGCCCAGGCCUGUAAUCCCAGCACUUUGGGAGGCCGAACCGGGUGGAUCACCUGAGGUCAGGAGUUCAAGACCAGCCUGGCCAACAUGGUGAAACCCCAUCUCUACUAAAAAUACAAAAAUUAGCCGGGCGUGGUGGUGUGCACCUGUAAUCCCAGCUACUUGGGAGGCUGAGACAAGAGAAUCGCUUGAACCCGGGAGGCAGAAGUUGCAGUGAGCUGAGAUUGUGCCAUUGCACUCCAGCCUGGUGACAGAGCAAAACUUGGUCUUUAAAAAAAAAAAAAAAAUUAGUGGGGUGUGGUGGCACACACCUGUGGUUCCAGCAACCCAGGCAGCUGAGAUGAGAAGAUUGCUUGAGCCCAGGAGGCGAAGGCUGCAGUGAGCCGAGAUCGCACCACUGCACUCCACUCAGAGCAACAGAGUGAGACCCCGUCUGAAAACGACCAAAAAAAAAAAAAAAAAAAAAAAAAGAGAGAGAAGGAAGGAUUUAACAAGCUUAUGUAUUUCCUCAUCCAUUAAAAUAAAGAAAUUGAGCUAGAGAGCUUCUAGUAUCCUGUCCA